AAUUUGGAGGGGACAAAAACAUUUCAACCGUAGCACCAUUUGUCUCCUUUGCUGCUAUUGGAGGGAGAGUCCCAAUUUCUCAUUAGUUUAUGCAGCUUGCUGCUUAGUAAUGACUUAUCAAUGACAGUUGAAACUUGUAGUUGUAUUUGAUGAAGGAAAUAUGCACAUUUCUUUAUAGCACUUAGUUUUUUGCUUUGUUUUUCUACUUUAUUAACAUGCAGGCAAAGUGGGAGUGUUUAUUUUUAAAGAAGCUUUGAGCAUUAGACAUGUUUUAAAUCUAUUUCUUCGUUUAAUAUCAGUUGUCUUCUAAGAAGUGUUUCUCAUCAAAAUGGAAACAAUAAGGCUUAGAUAUUUAAGAUAAAAU
rnacentral:misc_RNA from 1 species